GAUGAACGCUGGCGGCGUGCCUAAUACAUGCAAGUCGAGCGAACAGACGAGGAGCUUGCUCCUCUGACGUUAGUGGCGGACGGGUGAGUAACACGUGGAUAACCUACCUAUAAGACUGGGAUAACUUCGGGAAACCGGAGCUAAUACCGGAUAAUAUAUUGAACCGCAUGGUUCAAUAGUGAAAGACGGUUUUGCUGUCACUUAUAGAUGGAUCUGCGCCGCAUUAGCUAGUUGGUAAGGUAACGGCUUACCAAGGCAACGAUGCGUAGCCGACCUGAGAGGGUGAUCGGCCACACUGGAACUGAGACACGGUCCAGACUCCUACGGGAGGCAGCAGUAGGGAAUCUUCCGCAAUGGGCGAAAGCCUGACGGAGCAACGCCGCGUGAGUGAUGAAGGUCUUCGGAUCGUAAAACUCUGUUAUUAGGGAAGAACAAAUGUGUAAGUAACUAUGCACGUCUUGACGGUACCUAAUCAGAAAGCCACGGCUAACUACGUG
rnacentral:rRNA from 1 species